UAUUGUCACAUAAAGUUACAAUACAGCAGACAAUUUCGUAACACAUCAGUGAUUGAUUUGAAGAAAAAAAAGUAUAUUGUGACAUAUAUUGUGCAAUUUGGAAGGACUUGCAGUGAAAUCGACGUCCUGUAUAAUUUUUAUUAUUCGUUAUCAGUCGCUGUAGAAACAACAUCAAGCGAUUGAUUAAAAACGACGAACAUCAUCCGAUUUCCGGAUUCAAAUCGCUCGAAUCCGAAGGAAAAAAUAACAAUAUAUGGCAGGAAAAACUUCACCGAACAGAGCCUGGGAUCAACAGUUGCAACCAAGCAAUGCUGCUCCGUGUCUACGUUGAUAAUCAAUAUUUCACCAGGCACAUCAUCAUAAUAAAAUUGUAAUAAUUGCAAAAAUAAAAUAGAAUUCAAUGAAACUAUUUUGUUGUUCUUGUUCUAGAAUUCAAAUUCAUAAAACUUUUUAACAUUAGCUCAUGUUUUGCUGAUCUUCAGCAUUGUUGAAUCAACCACUGCCUUUAGUUUCGAAAUAACUAGAAGUGAAAUGUCAAAAAUAUCAUGGCUCUGGUUAUAGCGAAAACCACAAUGUAAAUAAAGAUUCGGUCAUGG